rnacentral:tRNA from 1 species
GUGGCUCAGUUGGUAGAGUGCUUGCUUAGCAUGCAAGAAGCCCUGGGUUCGAUUCUCAGC